CGAUACAGGGUGACAGCCCCGUACACAAAAAUGCACAUGCUGUGAGCUCGAUGAGUAGGGCGGGACACGUGGUAUCCUGUCUGAAUAUGGGGGGACCAUCCUCCAAGGCUAAAUACUCCUGACUGACCGAUAGUGAACCAGUACCGUGAGGGAAAGGCGAAAAGAACCCCGGCGAGGGGAGUGAAAAAGAACCUGAAACCGUGUACGUACAAGCAGUGGGAGCACGCUUAGGCGUGUGACUGCGUACCUUUUGUAUAAUGGGUCAGCGACUUAUAUUCUGUAGCAAGGUUAACCGAAUAGGGGAGCCGAAGGGAAACCGAGUCUUAACUGGGCGUUAAGUUGCAGGGUAUAGACCCGAAACCCGGUGAUCUAGCCAUGGGCAGGUUGAAGGUUGGGUAACACUAACUGGAGGACCGAACCGACUAAUGUUGAAAAAUUAGCGGAUGACUUGUGGCUGGGGGUGAAAGGCCAAUCAAACCGGGAGAUAGCUGGUUCUCCCCGAAAGCUAUUUAGGUAGCGCCUCGUGAAUUCAUCUCCGGGGGUAGAGCACUGUUUCGGCAAGGGGGUCAUCCCGACUUACCAACCCGAUGCAAACUGCGAAUACCGGAGAAUGUUAUCACGGGAGACACACGGCGGGUGCUAACGUCCGUCGUGAAGAGGGAAACAACCCAGACCGCCAGCUAAGGUCCCAAAGUCAUGGUUAAGUGGGAAACGAUGUGGGAAGGCCCAGACAGCCAGGAUGUUGGCUUAGAAGCAGCCAUCAUUUAAAGAAAGCGUAAUAGCUCACUGGUCGAGUCGGCCUGCGCGGAAGAUGUAACGGGGCUAAACCAUGCACCGAAGCUGCGGCAGCGACGCUGAUGCGUUGUUGGGUAGGGGAGCGUUCUGUAAGCCUGUGAAGGUGUGCUGUGAGGCAUGCUGGAGGUAUCAGAAGUGCGAAUGCUGACAUAAGUAACGAUAAAGCGGGUGAAAAGCCCGCUCGCCGGAAGACCAAGGGUUCCUGUCCAACGUUAAUCGGGGCAGGGUGAGUCGACCCCUAAGGCGAGGCCGAAAGGCGUAGUCGAUGGGAAACAGGUUAAUAUUCCUGUACUUGGUGUUACUGCGAAGGGGGGACGGAGAAGGCUAUGUUGGCCGGGCGACGGUUGUCCCGGUUUAAGCGUGUAGGCUGGUUUUCCAGGCAAAUCCGGAAAAUCAAGGCUGAGGCGUGAUGACGAGGCACUACGGUGCUGAAGCAACAAAUGCCCUGCUUCCAGGAAAAGCCUCUAAGCAUCAGGUAACAUCAAAUCGUACCCCAAACCGACACAGGUGGUCAGGUAGAGAAUACCAAGGCGCUUGAGAGAACUCGGGUGAAGGAACUAGGCAAAAUGGUGCCGUAACUUCGGGAGAAGGCACGCUGAUAUGUAGGUGAAGCGACUUGCUCGUGGAGCUGAAAUCAGUCGAAGAUACCAGCUGGCUGCAACUGUUUAUUAAAAACACAGCACUGUGCAAACACGAAAGUGGACGUAUACGGUGUGACGCCUGCCCGGUGCCGGAAGGUUAAUUGAUGGGGUCAGCGCAAGCGAAGCUCUUGAUCGAAGCCCCGGUAAACGGCGGCCGUAACUAUAACGGUCCUAAGGUAGCGAAAUUCCUUGUCGGGUAAGUUCCGACCUGCACGAAUGGCGUAAUGAUGGCCAGGCUGUCUCCACCCGAGACUCAGUGAAAUUGAACUCGCUGUGAAGAUGCAGUGUACCCGCGGCAAGACGGAAAGACCCCGUGAACCUUUACUAUAGCUUGACACUGAACAUUGAGCCUUGAUGUGUAGGAUAGGUGGGAGGCUUUGAAGUGUGG
rnacentral:rRNA from 1 species